AGUGAAUACAUAACGUUUAAAAAGACCAAGUUCAAAAAAAGGUAUCUCGAGAAGAAACAAAUACAAAUAUGAUAUUUCAAAGGUCAUACCUCUGAUAGUGCAAAAUAAAUUUUCAGGAGCCAUAGUUGGUCAAAACAUUAUUCACAGUAAUAAUUUAUAAUACAAUUUAAAUAGGAGAAUGCAAAAAACAAAGGUUUGGCAAUCAAUGGUAAAAAGGAUGUACGCAAACUUCUGAAUGCUCUCACCAAGAAAAUUAAUAGAUACAGAAAACUUAAAUGAGAAUAGAGUACCUAAAACAAAAUUGAAUUCACAGGAGUGAAGCUAAAUUUCAAUCUAUCCCAACACAAUAGAAAGUACACAACUGUCAGUGAGUGUGUGUAUGCAGUGUCAAUAUGAUGAAAAACUAAGAUGCUGAGCAUAUUGUAGUUGCACUAUCAUAAUCAAGAAAGAAAGCCAAGAAAAGCAAAAGAUAAAAUAUCAAACAUAAACUGAGUAUGGACAACCAAGGUACACACUGGCAUGCUUUAAUCAAGUAACAUCCAACCAAAUACACUUGGUAUACAUAAGGGUAAGUGGAUGUGGGGUUACUUCAAAUCAUCAUGAGGUGCAACCGUGCAAGUCCAGACAUUUAAGAUUUUCAACACAUAUCAAAUCAAGUAAAUAAUAAACCCCACCCAAAACCAACUGUGGACCUUGACGUUCAAUAAAAAUUCAUGCAACAUCACCCCAAUUUCGAUGCAUAUCAAGUAUAUAAUAAACCACCCAAAACAAACUAUGGACCUUGAAGUUCAAUAACCCCAUGGAACAUCAUCCCAAUGCAUCACAACACAUUUCUAUUAUAAAUAACAUGAAUUGAUAUAAACACAGAUACAGCAGCAAGUAAAUGAAGCACAAACAAAAUACCGGCAACUCACCUAG
rnacentral:lncRNA from 1 species